GCACUGGUGGUUCAGUGGUAGAAUUCUGCCUGCCGCACGGGAGGCCCCAGGUUCAAUUCCCAGCCAAUGCA
rnacentral:tRNA from 1 species